rnacentral:rRNA from 1 species
UACAGAGGUCCCGAGCGUUGUUCGGAUUCACUGGGCGUAAAGGGUGCGUAGGUGGCGAUGAAAGUUCGAUGUGAAAUCUCCGGGCUUAACCCGGAAAAGGCAUUGAAAACUAUGUUGCUUGAGGUUUGGAGGGGGGACUGGAAUUCUCGGUGUAGCAGUGAAAUGCGUAGAUAUCGAGAGGAACACCAGUGGCGAAGGCGGGUCCCUGGACAACACCUGGACACUGAGGCACGAAAGCUAGGGGAGCAAACAGG